CUGCUGGGGAGUGAUACAGAAUGCGUUGUAUUAUAUGCUGACUUGAAUCUUCUUAUCUUUUUCCAUACAUCUGAUGGAGGAGUAUGAGGAGAUAAGGAGGAGCAGAAAUUUCUCCAACAAUCACAUUUUUUUCUUUUGAAAACCUGUUUUCUUUUUUUAAUAGCUUCCGUACAAUCUUUAUCCCACCAAGGAGGACUAGGAAUAUGAGAAGUUUCAUUUUUUACUGGGAAGAUUUCAUUAGCACUUUCAAUCAAGACAUCCGUGAAAACAGGAG
rnacentral:misc_RNA from 1 species